ACAUAUGCAUAUGAGACCGAUAGUGAACAAGUACUGUGAAGGAAAGGUGAAAAGAACCCUCUUGUAUAGUGAGUGAAAAGAUCUGAAACAAAAUACAUACAAUCAAUCGAUAUAUUAAAAAAAUGUAUCGGUGUACCUUUUGCAUAAUGGGUCAGCGACUAAAUGUGUGCAGCUUGCUUAAGCAAAGAUGUGGAGGCAAAGCAAAAGCGAGUAGGUUUUCCUGCGUUUGUUGCAUGCAUUUGACCCGAAACUAAGUGAUCUCGUUUUGAGCAGGUUGAAGAAAGCGUAAUGUCUUUUGGAGGACCGAACCGACGUCUGUAGCAAUAGGCGCGGAUGACUUGAUACGAGGGGUGAAAGGCCAAUCAAACUUAGAAAUAGCUGGUUCUUCGCGAAAUUUAUUGAGGUAAAGCGUAUGUGAGAUCUUUCUGGGGGUAGAGCACUUAUUGAGCUAUGGGGGUCCAAAACCUUACUGCUCUCAAGAAAACUCCGAAUACCAGUAAAGUGUAAUAGGCAGACAGACAAGCAGUGCUAAGGUUGCUUGUCGAAAGGGAAACAGCCCAGCCUGGCCGCUAAGGUCCCUAAGCUUUCUGUGAGUGGGAAAAGAAGUGAGACAACGUUGACAACUAGGAGGUUGGCUUGGAAGCAGCCAUUCUAUCAUGAAAGCGUAAUAGCUCACUAGUCGAGUUGUUUUGCACUGAAAAUGUAUCGGGGCUGAACAGAAACACCGACGCGCUGGUUUAAAGAUCUUUAUUUAAAGGUAGCGAAGCGUUUUGUACGCCAAUGAAGAAGAUACGUGAGUAUUUUUGGAGGUAUCAAAAGUGACUAUGCUGACAUGAGUAACGAAAAUCAUGUAGAAUCAUGAUCACCGUAUGUUCAAGGGUUUCUGCGUUCUGGUCUACAGCGCAGAGUUAUGUUCGGUCCCUAAGAGAUACACGCAUCCGUGUGCUUAAUGGACAGUAUUUAUAUAGGACGGUAUUUGCUUCUAAAAGCUACAAUUGGAUAUGGUGUAUAGUAAGUAAAUAUCCAGGAAAAUUUAUAAAUGUAUUGACCGUACCCUAAACCGACACAGGUGAACGAGUCGAAUAGACUCAGGUGAUGAGAGAACCACAUUGAAGGAACUCGGCAAAAUAUUCCCGUACCUUAGGAAGAAGGGAAACCAAGUAUGGUGACACAAAAAUGGGGGUGACGACUUUUUACUAAAAAAUUAGGACUCUGCAAAAUGGUAACAUGCUGUAUAGGGUCUGACGUCUGCCCGGUGCUAGAAGUCUAAAAGGCGCAUUGCAAGAUGCAAAUGGAAAGCCUAGUAAACGGCGGUUGUAACUAUAACAAUCAUAAAGUAGCGAAAUUCAUUGCCAGCUAAUUCCUGGCCUGCAUGAAAGACGUAACGAUUGCCCCGCUGUCUCCAGUAUGGGCUCAGUGAAAUUGAAUUCUCCGUGCAGAUGCGGAGUACGUGCCCCAAGACGAGAAGACCCUGUGCAUCUUUACUGUACAUUUGCAUUGACAACACGGUGUGUCUGUGUAGGAUAGGUGGGAGUGCAUACACCCUUGAAAUACCACCCUUACCAUCGUUUUUGUCUAACACCUUUGUGGUGCACCAUGCAUGUGAGGCAGUUUGACUGGGGCGGUCGCCUCCUAAAGAGUAACGGAGGCGUGCGAAGGUAAACUCAAUGUAGAUCGGAAACCUACUGAAGAGCAUAAUGGUAUAAGUUUGCCUGACUGCAAGAUUCACAGAUCGAGCAGAGACGAAAGUCGGUCAUAAUGAUCCACAAGUACUGAGUGGAAAGGCUUGUGCUUAACGAAUCAAAGAUACGCCAGGGAUAACAGGCUGAUAAUUCCCUAGAGUCCAUAUCGACGGAAUUGUUUGGCACCUCGAUGUUGACUGAUCAUAUCCUGGGGCUGAAGAAGGUCCCAAGGGUUCGGCUGUUCGCCGAAUAAAAUGGUACCUGAGUUGAGUUUAGAACGUCGUGAGACAGUUUGGAUUCUACCUGGGGUGCGCGUGAAAGAAUUGUGGAAACCACAUCCUUGUACGAGAG
rnacentral:rRNA from 1 species